GGAUUAGGAUCGUAGGUGACCUGCGGAGGAUCAUUACAGUAUUCUUUUGCCAGCGCUUAACUGCGCGGCGAAAAACCUUACACACAGUGUCUUUUUGAUACAGAACUCUUGCUUUGGUUUGGCCUAGAGAUAGGUUGGGCCAGAGGUUUAACAAAACACAAUUUAAUUAUUUUUACAGUUAGUCAAAUUUUGAAUUAAUCUUCAAAACUUUCAACAACGGAUCUCUUGGUUCUCGCAUCGAUGAAGAACACAA
rnacentral:misc_RNA from 1 species